rnacentral:rRNA from 1 species
CCCGGGAAACUGGGGCUAAUUCCUGAUAGGCACCCCCUUCUGGAAUGUGGGGAUGUCCAAAGCUCCGGCGCCGAAGGAUGGGCCUGCGGCCGAUUAGGUUGUUGGCGGGGUAACAGCCCACCAAGCCGACGAUCGGUACGGGCAGUGAGAGCUGUAGCCCGGAGAUGGGGACUGAGACAAGGCCCCAGGCCCUACGGGGCGCAGCAGGCGCGAAACCUUCACAAUGCACGAAAGUGUGAUGAGGGUACUCCGAGUGCGCAUACAUUGUAUGUGCUUUUCUGCAGCGUAAAUAGUUGCAGGAAUAAGGGCUGGGCAAGACCGGUGCCAGCCGCCGCGGUAACACCGGCAGCCCUAGUGGUGGCCGCUUUUAUUGGGCCUAAAGCGUCCGUAGCCGGAUAGGCAAGUCUUUGGGUAAAUCCUACGUCUUAAGCGUGGGAAUUCUAAAGAUACUACCUGUCUUGAGGCCGGGAGAGGCUAGAGGUACUCCUGGGGUAGGGGUAAAAUCCUAUAAUCCUGGGGGGACCACCGAUGGCGAAGGCAUCUAGCUGGAACGGGCCUGACGGUGAGGGACGAAACCCAGGGGAGCGAGCCGGAUUAGAUACCCGGGUAGUCCUGGGCGUAAAUGAUGUGGGCUUGGUGUGAGCGCAUCGACGAGGUGCGUUUGUGCCGUAGGGAAGCCGUUAAGCCCACCGCCUGGGGAGUACGGUCGCAAGGCUGAAACUUAAAGGA